rnacentral:lncRNA from 1 species
CAACCAUGACAUGAAAAAUAGCUUUUAUGCUAGAUCUAUAUUGAUUUUGUUUUCUUUUUGUUUCAACAGAUUGAAACUAAUGAAGAGCUGGAAGGAGUUAACUGAUGAGUAGACAUUACAACAUUUCUUAUAUUUGCAAGAUGAAGCUGAAAGUCCCAUUGCAGGAUGAUGCUUCUCUACAGUGGAUGAUGAAGGCAUGCUGAUUACAAACCCAGGAGAGGAACAAAGAACAGAUAUUGACAGAAGCAUAUCUAGAGAUGCGGGCCUACUACACUUCAUACGAGCAAGUGUGCUAAUAUACAAUACUUGGGUUAUCAUCACAGCCCUUUCUUCUGAAAACUAGCCUACAACUUCAUCAAUGAAU